UAACACAUGCAAGUCGAGCGGAGAUGAUGUGAGGAAGUUUCGGAUGGAAUCACAUUAUUUAGCGGCGGACGGGUGAGUAACGCGUGAGCGACCAACCUUGCACAGGGGGAUAACGGACCGAAAGGUUCACUAAUACCGCAUGAGACCACGGUGUUGCAUGACACAGGGGGUCAAAGGAGCAAUCCGGUGCAAGACGGGCUCGCGUCCGAUUAGGUAGUUGGUGGGGGUAAUGGCCCACCAAGCCUAUGAUCGGUAGCCGACCUGAGAGGGUGAUCGGCCACAUUGGAACUGAGAUACGGUCCAAACUCCUACGGGAGGCAGCAGUGGGGAAUAUUGGGCAAUGGGGGGAAACCCUGACCCAGCAACGCCGCGUGAAGGAAGAAGGUUUUCGGAUUGUAAACUUCUGUCCUUGGUGAAGAGAAGAAGACGGUAGCCAAGGAGGAAGCCCCGGCUAACUACGUGCCAGCCGCCGC
rnacentral:rRNA from 1 species